GAUGAACGCUGGCGGCGUGCCUAAUACAUGCCAGUCGAGCGAACAGAUGAUGAGCUUGCUCCUCGGACGUUAGCGGCGGACGGGUGAGUAACACGUGGAUAACCUACCUAUAAGACUGAGAUAACUACGGGAAACCGGAUCUAAUACCGGAUAAUAUAUUGAACCGCAGGGUUCAAUGGUGAAAUACGGUUUUUCUGGCACGUAUAGAUGGAUCCGCGCCGCAUUGGCUAGUUGGUAAGGUAACGGCUUACCAAGGCAACGAUGCGUAGCCGAACUGAGAGGGUGAUAGGCCACCUGAGAACGGAGACGGGGACCAGACUCCUACGGGAGGCAGCAGUAGGGAAUCUUCCGCAAUGGGCGAAAGCAUGACGGAGCGACGCGGCGCGAGUGACGACAGUCUUCGGAUCGUAAAACUCUGUUAUUGGUGAAGAACAAAUGUGUAAGUAACCAUGCACGUCUUGACGGUACUUAAUCAGAAAGCCACGGCUAACUACGUG
rnacentral:rRNA from 1 species